CACGACUACAUUAGAUACCCCUGUAGUCCUAGCCGUAAACGAUACUCGCUAGGUGUCGGCCACGGUGCGACCGUUGUCGGUGCCGUAGGGAAGCCGUGAAGCGAGCCACCUGGGAAGUACGGCCGCAAGGCUGAAACUUAAAGGAAUUGGCGGGGAGCACAACAACGGGUGGAGCUUGCGGUUUAAUUGGAUUCAACGCCGGAAAUCUUACCGGGACCGACAGCAACAUGAAGGCCAAGCUGAAGACUUUGCCGGAUUAGCUG
rnacentral:rRNA from 1 species